rnacentral:lncRNA from 1 species
GAAAGCCCAGUCUUGACCUAUUGAGUUUAAUUACCAUGGCUAUUCUAAAGUCAAUAUUUAUCAAGCCAGGAUACUUGACUCUCACUUUUGGUAGGUGAUUCCUCCUGUCAGCUUUUUAUUUUUUUAUUUUUUUACUUAACAGUCCCCAUUUCAUUGCUAAAUCAAUUCUAUUUCCAAGAGAAAUGCAAUAAGCCUUAUGUUGUUUGCUGCUAAAGCGUAUUCCUUGCAAAUAAAAAAUAUCUCAAAUAUCAGAUGAAUGGAUAUACCAAUUUAAAUAACAGUUUAAGUUACUUCUUUCUUUUUUCCCCUUAUCAAAACUUCACUGGUCUUCUUUAAGUUCCUUUAGAGUCUAUUAAAAUGACUAAGUCGUUAUUAGGAUCGCUCACCAAAGUGAUGAGAAUGCUAGCCAGUGAAUCCUUCUUAGCUUUUGGUCAAGCAGGAAUUAGCUACUCGCUGAUUCCAUUCUCUACUCUACAGAGCUCUUUACUGAAUACUGCAUUUUUACAUUUCACAUAAUAGUUAUCACUGAGCAUUUAAAAAGGCUCUUAGAUAAAGGGAAGAUCAAUUUACCCCUCUGUCACACACCAACAGAGUGUAGCCGGUAGAGGAAUUUACAACAGACUUACAGACUAUUCAACAUGCUCCAUUUUACCUCUCUUUUCUAUCCUUCCCAUUAAAAAAAAAAAAAAAGACAGGGUCUUAUGUGUUCCAAGGUAGCUUUAAACUCAUUGUGUAGAAGAUGGCUUUGAACUCCCAAUCCUUCUGCCUCUAUGUGCUUAGUGGUGAGCUUACAGUUAUGAGCCACCAUGUCCGGCCAGUUAUCUUCUUUCUAAAGUGUGCAAGCUCCAUGCCGGCAUAUGCGAAAGUUCUUUUCUACCUAGAUAGACCUCCCUAUCAAGGCCAAUCUGCAAGGUCUUCUUUCCAAGCAGUUGAUCACCGAAUUCCUAUUGGCAAUAAAAAUUCCCAGAAUACCUGGGAGAACAUAAAUUCACCAAGCAGCAGGGUAAUUCCCCAUAAGCAACAUCACCUUUUCUGGCCUUCCUACCACUGAGACCCUAGGAGGGAGGAUCUAGAAAGAGCAAUGGCAGCCUGAACACAGAAAAUAUCUCCAUUAGCAGACCCCUCUUCAGCGACAACCCCCCCCCCCCAGCCUCAUGCUUCACUUGCAAAGUGUGACAUUACCACGGGACGAGUGCCUUGCUUGAACCAAAGCAACGAUUUAGCCAGUCUGGACCUCUCUGUGCUUUUCUUAAUUCUUCCUGUGAUUACCUCAGCUUCAACUGGGCCUCCAAACAGUAAAUUGGUAGGCUUAUUGUACUGUGGUGCUUUGCAAUGCAACCCUGCAAAGAACAAGAUUUGUACUAAUACCAAAGGUUCUUUCUCUACGUCUCUUCCUUCUGCCUCCCCACUGUCCCCCCUUUUCUAGUCCCUCACAGUUCCAAAGCUUUAACAUGAACCUGGGCAUGUUGGCAAUGCAGACCGCGCAAUUCCUUACCGAAUUUUCUCAGAUAUACCUCAUAGAUAAUAGUGUUUAGAGUAAUGUUAUUAUAGCGUAUGUAAUAAAUUAUUCACUGUUUCUUUUGGUAACUGUGAUUUAAAAAAAGAAAAAAGGAAAAAAAAAGCUUUAUACAGUUUAGGUUGUGCUUUUGUAAUAGAUGAAAAUGUGCGCUUAAAAAAAAAAGAAACAUACGUUCUUUUUAUUUUUCUUCUCCCCCCACCCCCUUUGGAUUUUAUUUAUUCUGGAUUGGGGAAAGUUGCAGAAUGAGCCCAAAGUUUACAGUUUCAUAUUUUGCUGAAGAAACAAUCUGUGUUCAUUUGCUCUGUU